GUUGCAGUCAUAGGCUAUGCUGUGCCCGGCCACUCCUUCUUCACAUGUACAGCACUUCUUCACGUGACUUAUCAGGUUGUAGUUUCGUUCCUGCUCGACACUCAACUUAUCGUGACUACAUUGAAGAUGGCGGCGGCCCGUCAUUUUCUUGCAGGGCCCUUGGAAGUCUACCAAUGAAGUGUGGAGCUACUUUGUGCCUCGUAAAUGGUGUAAAACAGUGAUUUAUUUACAUGGCUAGCCCGAUGCCCCAUUUACUCUCAUCGACAACCUGUUGUUAGCAUCGGCUAACUGACCCCAGAUUUCGGACUUGAGUGGACAAGCCGAGAUGAGAUAUGCAAGGCACAGACAGGAGCAGUGGAGGAGCUGGAAAAACUAAAAUGGAGGACUUUAGGCAGAAGGUGAAGUAAAAGAAGAAGAAAUGGACGCACGAAUGGUGAGGUGAGUUUUGGUCCAUGGAAUGAUGUCAAAUCAAAACCAGGGCGCAAAAAAACCAAGCCACGUUCACGACGCUGAAAAAUGGCACAAGCAGAACUGAGGAGGGGAUGCGCGCUACGCUGAAAUGCGCAGAGGUCGUCAGCUGUUGCGCAGAUGGGUUUUUAUCGUGGAAGUGGACAGAGAAGGAGAGAUUAACGCAAGAUCGUCUAGACAAGCACAAGAUACAUAACAGUGGCCGAUCAGUCGGCCUCAAAGACAAGGAACGCACACAUUUGUUUGCAUCAGAAAAGACUGAAAAGUCUAAGAUUACUGUAGUCACACAAGGAGCUUGUUUCACGUUAAAAAAAAAAAAUCAGCUGAUAACUUCACAUUCAAACAAAAAACUUUUUGAUGAAUCAUUAAAUAAUCUAUUUUUUAAAACCAAAAAAAUGCCUAAUUUUUUCUUCCAGUGGUUAGGUUAGUGGGUUCAGGUCUGUAGUAAUUAUAGAUAAAUAAUAUAAAAACAAUGAAUGUGAAUUGUGAGUAAAUGUGUGCUAUAUAUGACAAACCUCUCAUAUAAAUAUAUGUAUGAUUUUAUAUAAGGAUAAUUAGAAUGGCCACAGAGUAACCCAAGCCCUUAAAGAAAACAUCUGUUCAUUAUUUAACAUAUUUUUGGAUGAUUUCUUUCCAACUUCAGUCUUGGCUUCUUCACAAUGGUAAGCUUCAGUUUAACUUUUCUUUAAAUGUUCGAUAACAUUAGUUUCACAAAUAUCAAUUAAUUUUGUACUUGAAGCAUGAGUUUUGCUUGACUGAGGGAAAUACAUUUGUUAAAUAUGACAGCUUAGUUCUGUUUCAUCAACAUUUGUUUUUAAAGGAUAGAUGCAUUUUUUUAAAUUCAUAAUUUCUCAUCUUUAAACAAUGGCCUACUGCACAGUAUAUACCCUGUAUUUCCAAAUCAGUAUGCAAUAAGCAAUGAUAAAUAUUUAGUACAGCAGAUUGUGAUAAUGUCUACAUUCUAAAUAAAAAAUACUAGUGUAAAGCUUCCUAAAGUAUGAGCACUGCAUUGUGGGACAUUGUAUUCCAUACAGUGUUCUCUGUUGCACACAGCAGUAUUCUGUGCAUAAAGAAAAUAAACUACAAAACUAGUCUGAGUAGUAUGAUAGAAUGCCAUUACCAGUCUGAGAGCAUAAAACAUAUUUUGCAAUAUGUACAAGCAGCAAAUAACUGACCCCACCGUGUCAGAUCAUCACUUCCCCUAUGAGGUCACUUCC